CCUACGGGAGGCAGCAGUGAGGAAUAUUGGUCAAUGGACGAGAGUCUGAACCAGCCAAGUAGCGUGAAGGAUGAAUGCCCUAUGGGUUGUAAACUUCUUUUAUAUGGGAAUAAAAUGUUCCACGUGUGGGAUUUUGUAUGUACCAUAUGAAUAAGGAUGGGCUAACUCCGUGACAGCAGCCGCGGUAAUACGGAGGAUCCGAGCGUCAUCCGGAUUUAUUGGGUUUAAAGGGAGCGCAGGCGGUCCGUGAAGUCAGGGGGCAAAGGCCCGGGCUCAAACCCGGCCCGGCCGUUGAAACUGGCAGACUGGAGUUGGAGAGAGGUAAGCGGAAUGCGAGGUGUAGCAGUGAAAUGCGUAGAUAUCGCGAAGAAC
rnacentral:rRNA from 1 species